UUACAUCAACGUUAUCGUUUUGUACUUCAGUGUUUCCCUUGUAUUGGCAGCAACAUUAAUAAUUUAACCACUUAGCACAUCGCAUUUUGGCGGUUAAUUAAUCACAUUUAAAAGGGACAUCACAUGUCUAAUCAAACAACUGGUUCAGUAAAAUGGUUUAACGAAGCGAAAGGUUUUGGUUUCCUUUCUCAAGAUAACGGCGGUGCUGACGUAUUCGUUCACUUCGCUGCUAUUGCUUCUGAUGGCUUCAAAACAUUGGCUGAAGGCCAAAAAGUAUCUUUUGAAGUAUCUGAAGGACCUAAAGGUCUUCAAGCUGCAAACGUUGUAGCUCUAUAAUUUAUCUUUACUGAUAAAUAAUAAAAAUGCUGGCUAUGGCCGGCAUUU
rnacentral:sRNA from 1 species